rnacentral:rRNA from 1 species
CCUACGGGUGGCAGCAGUGGGGAAUAUUGCACAAUGGGGGAAACCCUGAUGCAGCGACGCCGCGUGAGUGAAGAAGGAUUUCGGUAUGUAAAGCUCUAUCAGCAGGGAAGAAAAUGACGGUACCUGAUUAAGAAUCCCCGGCUAACUACGUGCCAGCAGCCGCGGGAAUACGGCGGGGGCAAGCGUUAUCCGGAUUUACUGCGUGUAAAGGGAGCGUAGACGGCAGCACAAGACUGGAGGGAAAUGCCGGGGCUUAACCCCGGAACUGCUUUGGAAACUGUGCAGCUAGAGUGCAGGAGAGGUAAGUGGAAUUCCUAGUGUAGCGGUGAAAUGCGUAGAUAUUAGGAGGAACACCAGUGGCGAAGGCGGCUUACUGGACUGUAACUGACGUUGAGGCUCGAAAGCGUGGGGAGCAAACAGGAUUAGAUACCCUAGUAGUC